rnacentral:lncRNA from 1 species
AAUUUUAUUUUUUUAUUUAUUUUUUUUUUUUUGUAAUUAUUGUUUUUAGUAUUUUUUUUUUUUAUUGCUUACAUUGCAAGUACUUUUUUUUUAUAUGAUAACUUUUUAACGUCAUUACUUUAAUAUUUAAAAAUAUAAUUGUUUUAUUGUUUAUUAAUAAGAAAAAUAUUAAUUAGAUUACUAUAAAAUUUAUAUUAUGAAAAAUAUAUAAGUUUAGAUAUAACUAAAAAAAAUACAUUUAAUCUAGAAUAAUAUAUAAUUAUAUAAAAAAAUCUACAUGUAACGCAUAAAACUAUUGAAAAACAUUCAAUAACAUCAUUAUUACAUCGCAAUUUAUGAUACAAAAAUGUUUACUAUAAUUUAUAAAAUAAUUAUUGUUUUCUUUUUUCUAUGGAGAUGGACUAAUAACAUCAAGGCAAACAAAGAAAAUAUACUUAGAGUAGAAUAUGGUAGAUCAUUGGCUGAAUAUGAUAUCUACCUGGACGAACCUAAUGUUCCUUCUUAUAUAACAGUUUAUGAAAACAAAAAAAGUGAUGAAUUUAGUAAAAAUAUCGAAAGUGUUGCAAACAAAAAAAGUGAUGAAUUUAGUAAAAAUAUCGAAAAUGUUGUAAAUUUUGAAAAUAUCGAAAAUGUUGAAAAUGUUGAAAACAAAAAAAGUGAUGAAUUUAGUAAAAAUAUCGAAAAUGUUGAAAAUAUCGAAAAUGUUGUAAAUUUUGAAAAUGUUGUAAAUUUUGAAAAUAUCGAAAAUGUCGAAAAUGUUAAAAAUGUCGAAAAUGUUAAAAAUGUUGAAAAUGUUGAAAAUAUCGAAAAUAUCGAAAAUGUUGAAAAUAUCGAAAAUAUCGAAAAUAUCGAAAAUGUUGAAAAUAAAAGCAAUGUAAAAACCUUGAAAAAUGAAGACUAUAAUGAAAAAAAAUCAAUUUAUUUAUCCGAUAUGAAGCAAGAAUUAAUUAAAAUAUUAUCUAACAAAAAUGAAACUAAAAAUAUACUAAAAGAAACAACAAAUAUACAAGAAAAAGAUUUACUAGAAAUAUAUGAUCUUAUUAAACAUGUCAUUCCAACUGACAAAUAUUUACAAACUAUAAAAAAUAGUUGUGACAAAUCAAAAAAAAAACAUCUUGAUGAUAAGUACUAUGUUGAAACAUACUACAACUCAAUAUUAUACUUAUUGCGCACGUACUUCUUUCUUACUAACAGUAAAAGAAAAAGUUAUUUAACAUCUAAUAACAAUAAAUUUAAAAGUGAAUAUUUAAAAAAAUUUAAACUCAUAAACAUAAUAGAUAAACUAUUUAAGACUAAUUUACUUAAACAAAUGAUAAACAAGGAAAUAAAUCCAAGUGUAAAAAUGGCAUAUAAAAAACGUUUUAAGUUAUUUAGUUAUGCAUUCUUUUAUCCAAUAUUAAUAUACGUAAUUUCAAUUUUUACCAUACCUUUGGGGUCACUUCCUAUUACAUUUACAUUACUAGGGCUGUAUACAUCCUUAUGUAUACACUCUAAUUAUAAAUUCAUUAAAGACAUACAUUUUAUGCAACGAAUUAUGCAAAGGUCAGAACUAUUAAACAGAGAAUAUUUUAGUUAAGUAUAUGUACCAAAUAGUUGCAUAAAAAGUAUGUCAUUAAUAAAAAAUAAAUAAAACUUUUUUUUAUUUAAAUA